UACGAAGGGGGCUAGCGUUGUUCGGAAUUACUGGGCGUAAAGCGCACGUAGGCGGAUAUUUAAGUCAGGGGUGAAAUCCCAGAGCUCAACUCUGGAACUGCCUUUGAUACUGGGUAUCUUGAGUAUGGAAGAGGUAAGUGGAAUUGCGAGUGUAGAGGUGAAAUUCGUAGAUAUUCGCAGGAACACCAGUGGCGAAGGCGGCUUACUGGUCCAUAACUGACGCUGAUGCACGAAAGCUAGGGGAGCAAACAGG
rnacentral:rRNA from 1 species